rnacentral:rRNA from 1 species
GAUCCUGGCUCAGAUUGAACGCUGGCGGCAGGCCUAACACAUGCAAGUCGAACGGUAACAGAAAGCAGCUUGCUGCUUUGCUGACGAGUGGCGGACGGGUGAGUAAUGUCUGGGAAACUGCCUGAUGGAGGGGGAUAACUACUGGAAACGGUAGCUAAUACCGCAUAACGUCGCGAGACCAAAAGAGGGGGGACCUUCGGGCCUCUUGCCAUCGGAUGUGCCCAGGUGGGAUUAGCUAGUAGGUGGGG